UGCCAGCCGCCGCGGUAAUACGAAAGGUGCAAGCGUUGUUCGGAAUGACUGGGCGUAAAGCGCGCGUAGGCGGGAUAAUAGGUCGAUUGUGAAAUCCCCGGGCUCAACCUGGGAACUGCAGUCGAAACCAUUAUUCUUGAAUAUCUGAGAGGGUGGGGGAAUACCUAGUGGAGCAGUGAAAUGCGUAGAGAUUAGGUGGAACACCGGAGGCGAAGGCGCCUGCCUGGCAGAAUAUUGACGCUGAGGCGCGAAAGCGUGGGUAGCAAACAGGAUUAGAUA
rnacentral:rRNA from 1 species